rnacentral:rRNA from 1 species
GAUGAACGCUGACAGAAUGCUUAACACAUCAGCAAUUGAUUGGUGGCGGACGGGUGAGUAACGCGUAAAGAACUUGACUCACAGGUAGGGACAACAUUUGGAAACGAAAGCUAAUACCUAAUACUGUGAGAGAGCUUUGCGUCCCAUUAGCUCGUGGGAGAGGUAACGGCUCACCAAGGCGAGGAUGGGUAGCCGGCCUGAGAGGGUGAACGGCCCCAAGGGGAUGGGGACACGGCCCUUACUCCUACGGGAGGCAGCAGGGGGGAAUAUUGGACAAUGGACCAAAGUCUGAUCCAGCAAUUCGGUGUGCACGAUGAAGUUUUCGGAAUGUAAAGUGCUUUCAGUUGGGAAGCGGUACCAACAGAAGAAGUGACGGCUAACUCCGUGCCAGCAGCCGCGGUAAUUC